UACGGAGGGUGCGAAGCGUUGUCCGGAUUUAUUGGGUUUAAAGGGUGCGUAGGCGGCCUUGUAAGUCAGUGGUGAAAGCCUCCAGCUCAACUGGAGAACUGCCAUUGAUACUGCAAGGCUUGAGUACAGACGAGGUUGGCGGAAUUGAUUGUGUAGCGGUGAAAUGCAUAGAUACAAUCAAGAACUCCGAUUGCGUAGGCAGCUAACUAGGCUGUAACUGACGCUGAGGCACGAAAGCGUGGGGAGCGAACAGG
rnacentral:rRNA from 1 species